rnacentral:rRNA from 1 species
GGCGGACGGGUGCGUAACGCGUAUGCAACCUGCCUUAUACAGGGGGAUAGCCCAUGGAAACGUGGAUUAACACCCCAUAGGAUUACGGGAUCGCAUGAUUUUGUGAUUAAAACUGAGGUGGUAUAAGAUGGGCAUGCGUCUGAUUAGGUAGUUGGUGAGGUAAUGGCUCACCAAGCCGACGAUCAGUAGGGGUUCUGAGAGGAUUACCCCCCACACUGGUACUGAGACACGGACCAGACUCCUACGGGAGGCAGCAGUGAGGAAUAUUGGUCAAUGGCCGGAAGGCUGAACCAGCCAUCCCGCGUGCAGGAUGACGGCCCUAUGGGUUGUAAACUGCUUUUGUACCUGAAGAAACUCUCCGACGCGUCGGAGACUGCCGGUAAGGUAUGAAUAAGCAUCGGCUAACUCCGUGCCAGCAGCCGCGGUAAUACGGAGGAUGCAAGCGUUAUCCGG